rnacentral:rRNA from 1 species
GCAAGGAAUAUUGCACAAUGGGGGAAACCCUGAUGCAGCAACGCCGCGUGGGCGACGAAGGCCUUCGGGUUGUAAAGCCCUUUUCUUAGGGAAGAGCAAGGACGGUACCUGAGGAAUAAGUCUCGGCUAACUACGUGCCAGCAGCCGCGGUAAAACGUAGGAGACGAGCGUUAUCCGGAUUUACUGGGCGUAAAGGGCAAGUAGGCGGUUAUCAAAGUUGGACGUGACAAAUCUCGGCUCAACUGAGAAGGGUCGUCCAAAACUAGGUAACUAGAGGGCAGGAGAGGGGAGCGGAAUUCCUAGUGUAGCGGUGGAAUGCUUAGAGAUUAGGAAGAACACCAGUGGCGAAGGCGGCUCUCUGGCCUGCACCUGACGCUGAGAGGCGAAAGCUAGGGGAGCAAACGGGCUUAGAUACCCCAGUAGUCC